UUCAGAUAGGAUCUUCACAUUUACAGCUCAAGGACAAUCAUCUAGAGAGAAAUGAUAUUGAGAUAUUAAAAUAUUUCCUCUCUGUAGAUAUGUAUUAAUAGGUCAGACAAAAGUGUGUUUUCUGUAUGCACAAAUCAGUUUAAAAUGCACUGAAGGGGGCGCUGUAGCAUAAACAUAAAACAUUUUACAGUCAGGGUUGGGUUUUCUGUAAGUUUACUGUACUAAGGUUUGUUUUUGAAGCACAGGUAUCCCCACACACAUGUAUGUACAGUGGAUUUGUGUUUGCCAAGCAUUCACUUCUCUUUGUGUUUAUUUCAGGUCUUGUUCUUUACCGUUUUUAGGCAGGACGGCAAUGUUCUCCAGCAGAAUGCCUUGAUCCAAAGAGAACUCAGUGAAUCUGUCCAAAACGUCCUGGCCCAGGUCUGGGGUCUGGAUGUAUGUGUUUAUCCCUCACUUUCACUGAGGAAGGUGAAUUUUCCGGGAACAUCCGUCUUCUGAGCCAGAUGAUUCAUUCUCCAACACGUACCAUCAGGACUAAAGAGACAAAAUGUUCAAACUGGAGUAGGCCAUCUCGAGGUCUCCAUUAUCAUUUGGGGUGAACGUGGCGACGCCCAUCUUCAUAUUGGCUUUACGGAUGAUAAACCACUCUGAGUUUGAAGCAAAACCAAUCAGAGUUGACGACAAGGGUGCAGAGCAAAACUCCCAGCAAUCCCAUCCGGAUGGUUGCCAUGGCUACUGCAGAGCUCAGUCUGGAGUGAGGAAGAAUAAAUCUCAAGUUCUGUGAACAAAGUCCCACAGGCCGACCUUUUAUAGAGCAGACCCCCAUUAUAUAAACACACGCCCCUUACACACACACACGCACACACCUAACACUCAAUGCAUUAAGACUGAAUCUGUCUGGACUAUGAGAUUAUGCAAGAAAAAUAUAAUCACAAGUAAAAGAACAUGAAUUACUUUAACUGGAAUGGAUUAUGUACAUACUUAAUUUUUUUCCAAAUCAAAGUGCAUAUCCAAAGUGCAUUACAAGUUAUGUUUUAUCAGUAUAUGUUUAUCCUGUAAACAUAAAAUGUUUAUAAUUAACAUUUAAAAAUUUAAAUAGAAAGUACUAAAUAACUUUAAAGAAUGAUAAAGAACUUAAAACAGACCCUCUCAAUAUGACAACAUUCCCUCUCUGAACUAUAAGCUUUUCAUAUCAACUUUAUAUCAACAUAUAUGAAUAAAGUUAAAGAUCUUGACCAGAGCAGUUCUCAAAUGCUGUUAUAUCCUUUUAAAACUUCCUUAAAUUGCAACGGAAGCAUAUUCAAUUUCAAAGGUUUAAAAAAAAAUCAGGAAUUACUUUACAUUUGUUUAUGGUUGUUUAAAUGGCUUCCAUAUGUGGCCCAUGAAGCUUUAGGUUGGAAAACAUAAAUAAUAAGCAAGAAAUGACAGAAAUGCACACAAACCUGCUAAUAAAACGAAGAACUGCCUCUCUCCCUCUCUC